UACUACAGGUUUUGUGUAAAUGAUACAGUAUGAGAACUGAACAAAAUAGCUCUGAUAAAGGACAGAGAAGUAUUCAAAGGAUGUAUCAGCUGGUCAUUAGAAUAUUUGAAGUAAUUUACCAUAGACCUUGUGAAAGCUGUAUACCUGUUUUGCUUUAAAUAUUAGCUUCUUCCAUAGAGAACAGAAAAUUGACAUAGGAAGUGGUUCUAAAAAACACCAUUCCUGUGUUUUGUGAUCAGUUUUCCAAAAGGAGUUAUAAGAUUUUAUCUAGUGGGGUUUUUAAAACUGUUCUCUCAU
rnacentral:lncRNA from 1 species